rnacentral:rRNA from 1 species
GGGUUGUGAGGUUAAGCGACUAAGCGUACACGGUGGAUGCCCUGGCAGUCAGAGGCGAUGAAGGGCGUGCUAAUCUGCGAUAAGCGCCGGUAAGGUGAUAUGAACCGUUAUAACCGGCGAUACCCGAAUGGGGAAACCCAGUGUGACUCGUCACACUAUCAUUAACUGAAUCCAUAGGUUAAUGAGGCGAACCGGGGGAACUGAAACAUCUAAGUACCCCGAGGAAAAGAAAUCAACCGAGAUUCCCCCAGUAGCGGCGAGCGAACGGGGAGGAGCCCAGAGCCUGAAUCAGCAUGUGUGUUAGUGGAAGCGUCUGGAAAGGCGCGCGAUACAGGGUGACAGCCCCGUACACAAAAGCGCAUGUGCUGUGAGCUCGAUGAGUAGGGCGGGACACGUGGUAUCCUGUCUGAAUAUGGGGGGACCAUCCUCCAAGGCUAAAUACUCCUGACUGACCGAUAGUGAACCAGUACCGUGAGGGAAAGGCGAAAAGAACCCCGGCGAGGGGAGUGAAAAAGAACCUGAAACCGUGUACGUACAAGCAGUGGGAGCCCCACCACUAAGCCAGUGGUGAACUCCACAUACGCAUCCUUUGCUGAGGAUACGGUUAACGGAGCGAAAGCGACGUUCAACCGCAAAAGAAGCAGAGGGGGCUUAGUGGUGGGGUGACUGCGUACCUUUUGUAUAAUGGGUCAGCGACUUAUAUUCUGUAGCAAGGUUAACCGAAUAGGGGAGCCGGAGGGAAACCGAGUCUUAAC